CCUUGCAUGAUUGUUUAUUUCUCUUUUUCUCAGUUAUCUUCAACAUUAGUAGUGUUGUGUAACAUCUGAUAUUCAGUGUGUGAUAAUCUUACUUUCACAACAGAGGCUUUUUACUGGGAAACAUGGUUUUUAGUUUUCACCAGUAGUCUUACAGUCUGUGUCUUGUCUCUUUUCAACCAGUCAGCGUGUUGAAACCACUUGAUCUAGUUGGGUGUAGCAGCUUUUCCUUUUACCACAAGUCGGUCCUUACAGAUCUCUCUAAGCUGUGUAACCUUAACUCAUACUGUAAAUUUGGGAAAUGUUGCUUGCAUAUCCUGGGCUGAUGUUUGUGCUCUUUCUUAUAUUUACCAUAAUCCUUCCUGAUGUCUAUUAUUUAUAUUGGAUUCACAGUUGGUUUGGAGCUUUGUCCAGCAGCUGCAGCGUCGCUUUAUGUCUUUAACGUCUUCGUCAGUGUGAGGGAGGUGGCCUUCUCUGGGCUGAGACUUAAACCUCUUUCUGUCUGCCAGCAGUGAAUCUUAGGCAUCUGCUCCCACAGCCAGGAUCCUAUCAUUCUGCACCCACGUUGGGGGAAGACCCCUGCCCUUGGUCUCACCCACAUGCUCAUCUGUGUCUCCUUCACCUCUCUCUACAAUCCACCCCUCUAUAUCUGCAGACAGCUGCUGCCUCCCAGCCACAGCUCAGUAAACUACUUAAAUCUCUGUGCCGAGGUUAUUAAAGUGUGGAGAUGUCUCUCAUUAGACAGGGGUGUAAAUCUGCUGGCAUCCCAUAAACUGCACAACCACUGCCACUGAUGUAAACACCCCUCCAUGUCUGCACACAAGUGUAUUCACUUACAGACAUUGGCCUGUAUUUAUAUGGGUGCACCACAAAGGAAAUUAAAGCUUUCAUUCCACAAAGUGAGAUGAUCUUGUUGGAAAAAAAUGCUAUUUGUAAUUAAAUAUUGAGUUUCUGGUAACACUUUAGCUUAAGUUCCCCUGCUUUGCAUAUAAAGAAAUAUAGAAACAUAUGAAGAAUAGUUUAUAACACUAUGUGGUUGUCAGCUGAUAUUUAAGUGUUUAUUAAUGUACUUGUAAACAACUAUAACUCCUCUUGUGGCCGCCCAUAAUGGCUGACUGGUGCAUAAACAGAUCAUAAAUAAAAACAUAGCUGUAACAUAACCUAGCAAAUUUCACAAGAAAUUUUGACGGGUGCCUACUACCGCCACCGAGUACUAUUGAUAGCAGUAGCUCAGUCAUUGAUAUGUACUGCAAACUACAUAUACACAGUACAUGUACUACAGGUACUGAGCACUAUGUGGUUACAAUAUUGUAUGUAUGUACAAUACAUUACAAUUACGGAUGUUUCUGGCGACUAAAUGAAAAUUUUAAGUUCAACUAGUCGACUAGUCAGGCAGCUGAUUUAAUGGAGUUGAAACUUCUCAAACACAACAUAUGGAUACCACCAGAGAGACGUAAUUCUCUUGGAUGUGUAGAUGUAUUUUUUAUGUAUGUGGUGUCAAAAAUGUGAUCAUGGCAGCAGGUUAGAAAUCUGGUGCCUCCCAACUCUUUUCAAGAAAUUUCUCAUCUCAGUUUACAUAGGAGUGAAUGUGAAAAAAAAUGUCUCUCCCUUUGCUUGGAGGCUCACUGAGCCAAAUGUGUAACUGUGUGUGAUUCCAUAGUAACAUUUCUGCGACCAGCACAAAUGUCCCUGCGUUUUGAUGUAUAGAUUGUUUAUGUAGAAUGGAAACUGUGGGCAUGACAGUGAACUAAGUGCAUUUUUUAAAAAAUAUUUUUGAGCCCCUCUUCACUCUAGCUCUAAAACAUUCCGUGUGUGUGUGUGUGUGUGUGUGUGUGUCUUUGU